AAAAAAAUUCUUUCGAUUUCGAUUAGAUACUUUUUUCUUUUUUUAGUAAAUUGGUAUUUGCUUCCGCAAUUCCAAUUAUAUCAAUACUUUAUUUAAUUUACUCCUAUUUAUUACUCCUGGAAUUAUCUAUUUAUCGGGACAGAUAAUACCCCAUUCUAGGAAGGGCUGAGUUGAGUAUUAUUAAUUUAGAAGAUAUGCUCACCUUCUUAUUUCCCGUCCUUAGUUUAGGAAAGUGGAAAGUUUUUUCCUUUUAUUUUAGGAAUUUUGGGAACAGAACAUUUCAACAAAGGAAGUCUUUCACCGGUCAAACAAGACGUAAGACUUAAUCUAAAAGAAAUUACUAGAUUGAAUCUAUUUGCAUUAAAAAAACCGAUCAAAAAAGGGCGAGCGAAGUAAGUGAUCGAAAAACUUUGUUCUUUGUUCGUCCUAUCUAUAAGAGGAGAGCAUAUGAAAAAUGUAACCCAUUCUUUCAUUUUUUUAGCUCACUGGCCAUCCGCUGGCAGUUUCGGGCUUAAUACCGAAAUUUUAGCAACAAAUCUAGUAAAUCUAACUGUAGUGGUUGGUGUUUUGAUUUUUUUUGGAAAGGGAGUGUGUGCGAGUUGUCUAUUUCAAGAAUAGAUUGGAUCUAUUCGGCUGCACUUUAUAAUAUUUUUUAGUAUUUUUCGGAUAAAUAAGAAAAGGGUGCACGAUCUCGACGAAUUACUUCUGAAUAAAUUCAGAGAUCAUAUGGAAGAACCAUAGCAUUUCGCGACUCAUUGGUAAAUCAACUUUGAUUCUCUAUAAACCAAGAAUGUGAGACCAUUAACACGGUUAAAGCUAAACUGCUUGAAGUCCAGGCAAAAAGAGGUACUCUUUCUACAACUAUAUUAGUAUUAGUACCGAAUUUAAACGGGAAAUAGCUAAUGUAAAAUUUAUCUGAUAUAGAACACUCAUAUCGAUAAAAUGGUUUGAACUAUUUACUAGAAAAAAAGGGGGCACCCUGCCCUUUUUUAACCAAUGCCGAAUCAACGACCUAUGUAUAAAAAAGAGAAUUUUUUUGGAUUUGAAGAAAAAAAAGAAUUCUAUUAAUUUUCAUUUUCCAUUUAUUUAGUUAGUUUUUCUUAAUGAAAUUGAAAUUAUUAAAGAGGGCAAAUAAAAAUAAAGAAACAACUUUGCUGACCAUGAUAUAUUUUUAUCUAGGCAGAAGAGUCCUCUUAAUAUUUAUCUAGUCUUAUAUAGGUUUCGGUAUAUUGAAAUAUAAACAUAAAAAAGAAGAUAGAGGAUAGGCUCAUUACUUAAAAAAAAGAUAUGGAAAUAGCUAUAGAAAAAAAAUAAGGAGCGUGAGAGCCAAAUGAAUCGAAAGAUUCAUGUUUGGUUCGGGAAGAGAUCAUAAAAGUUGUAAACUUACAAAAUAAUCUACUUUCAUUAAAAGAUUUAUUAGAUAAUCAAAAACAGAGGAUCUUGAGUACUAUUCGAAAUUCAGAAGAAUUGCGUAGAGGGACCAUUGAGCAACUCGAAAAAGCUCGGAUUCGAUUACAGAAAGUCGAACUAGAAGCGGAUGAGUAUCGAAUGAAUGGAUACUCUGAGAUAGAACGAGAAAAAGCAAAUUUGAUUAAUGCUACUUCUAUUAGUUUGGAACAAUUGGAAAAGUCUAGAAACGAAACCCUUUAUUUUGAAAAACAAAGGGCAAUGAAUCAGGUUCGACAACGGGUUUUCCAACAGGCCGUACAAGGAGCUCUAGGAACUCUGAAUAGUUGUUUGAAUACCGAGUUACAUUUCCGUACGAUUCGUGCUAAUAUUGACAUUCUCGGGUCCCUGGAAUGGAAGAGAUAAUCAAAUUAAUUAGGCCUUGAACUUCUACUUUCGUUUAGAAUUUAGGCAUUAUUUUUCCCCUUGCUUCCGAAAAAAUAGUCAAGAAACACUAAUGGCAACCCUUCGAGUCGACGAAAUUCAUAAAAUUCUCCGCGAACGUAUUGAACAAUAUAAUAGGAAAGUAGGGAUUGAGAAUAUAGGUCGCGUAGUUCAAGUGGGGGAUGGGAUUGCUCGUAUUGUAGGUCUUGGUGAAAUAAUGUUAGGUGAAUUAGUCAAAUUUGCAGAAGGUACUAGGGGUAUUGCUCUGAAUUUGGAAUCCAAAAAUGUUGGGAUUGUAUUAAUGGGCGAUGGGUUGAUGAUACAAGAGGGAAGUUUUGUAAAAGCAACAGGAAGAAUUGCUCAGAUACCCGUGAGUGAGGCUUACUUGGGUCGUGUUGUAAAUGCUCUGGCUAAACCUAUUGAUGGGAAAGGCGAAAUUAUAGCUUCCGAAUCUCGCUUAAUUGAAUCUCCUGCUCCAAGUAUAAUUUCCAGGCAUUCCAUAUACGGACCUCUUCAAACAGGGCUUAUUGCUAUCGAUUCGAUGAUCCCUAUAGGGUGCGGUCAGCGAGAGUUAAUUAUUGGGGACAGACAGACUGGCAAAAUAGCAGUAGCCACAGAUGCAAUUCUCAAUCAAAAAGGGCAAGGUGUAAUAUGUGUUUAUGUAGCUAUCGAUCAAAGAGAAUCCUCCGUAGCUCAAGUGGUAACUACUUUCCAUGAGGAGGGGGCCAUGGAAUAUUGUAGUAGCUGAAAUGGCGGAUUCACCUGCUACAUUAUUGUAGUAGCUGAAAUGGCGGAUUCACCUGCUACAUUACAAUACCUCGCUCCUUAUACGGGAGCAGCCCUGGCUGAGUAUUUUAUGUACCGCGAACGGCAUACUUUAAUAAUUUAUGAUGAUCUCUCCAAACAGGCACAAGCUUAUCGCCAAAUGUCCCUUCUAUUAAGAAGACCUCCCGGCCGUGAGGCUUAUCCAGGGGAUGUUUUUUAUGUUCAUUCACGCCUUUUAGAAGGAGCUGCUAAAUUAAAUUCUCUUUUAGGCGAAGGAAGUAUGACCGCUUUACCAAUAGUUGAGACUCAAUCUGGAGACAUUUCCGCCUAUAUUCCUACUAAUGUAAUCUCCAUUACAGAUGGACAAAUAUUCUUAUCUGCGGAUCUAUUCAAUGCCGGAAUUCGACCCGCUAUUAAUGUGGGUAUUUCUGUUUCCAGAGUAGGAUCCGCGGCUCAAAUUAAAGCCAUGAAACAAGUAGCUAGCAAAUCAAAAUUGGAACUAGCUCAAUUCGCAGAGUUACAAGCUUUUGCACAAUUCGCCUCUGCUCUCGAUAAAACAAGUCAGAAUCAAUUGGCAAGGGGUCGACGAUUAAGGGAAUUGCUUAAACAAUCCCAAGCAAAUCCUCUCCCAGUGGAAGAGCAGAUAGCUACUAUUUAUAGCGGAACAAGAGGAUAUCUUGAUUUGUUAGAAAUUGAACAGGUAAAUAAAUUUCUGGAUGAGUUACGUAAACAUCUAAAAGAUACUAAACCUCAAUUCCAAGAAAUUAUAUCUUCUAGCAGGACAUUCACCGAGCAAGCGGAAAUCCUUUUGAAGGAAGCUAUUCAGGAACAGCUGGAACGGUUUUCUCUUCAGUAACAAAUAAAUUUUGCAUGUCUACUCUUGUUAGUAGAAUAGGAACCAUUGAGAAAGAUUUUUCAUUUGAAUCAUGCAAAAAAAAUUCUUUGUUUUUAGUUUAGUAUAGUUAUUUAAAGAAUAGAUAGAAAUAAGAUUGCGUCCAAUAGGAUUUGAACCUAUACCAAAGGUUUAGAAGACCUCUGUCCUAUCCAUUAGACAAUGGAUGCUUUUCUUUCAUAUUUUAUUCUUUCUUUUUUUUCUUCCGAGAAAAAACUGUUAGACCAAAACUCUUUUAGGAAAUCAAAAAAUCCAGAUACAAAUGCAUGAUGUAUAUAUUAUAUCAUGCAUAUAUCAUAAAGAAGGAGUAUGGAGCCGGUAGUGGGAAUCGAACCCGCAACCCCAAGGUUAUGAGCCUUAUGAGCUACCAAACUGCUCUAUACUCUUAAACUAAAGAGGGGUAACUAGUGGAUAAAAGAGGGUUGGAUACGCCCCUCUACCAAUAUCUAUACAAAUAGAAUAGUCCAUUUAUACAGAAUGGUAAAGAGGGCUCCUUUAUGAUUAUCAAUUCCAGAAAUCCAUACAAAUACAAAAGGGUAUUUUAUCCUUACCAACUGGAUCUUGUUGCACCCGGUAACAAACAUUCAUAAACCAUUUCUCGAAGUACGUGUCCGAAUAGCCCAAAAUGUCGAUAGUUAGCUCUAGGUCUUCCGGUCAAAAAACAACGUCGAUGAAGGCGUGUAGGUGCACUAUUACGCGGUAGGGAUUGCAAUUUUUCUCGCAUUUUCGUUUUUUCACUCAAACUCAAGGGAGAAACUUUGCUUCUUAUCUUUUUUUUAAAGAUUGACGAAUCAUAUGAUAUUUCUGUUCUAAUUUCUGUCGCUUCUUCUCCCUCUGAAUCAAACUUUUUUUUUGCCAUAAUGUGUCGUUGCUAUUAUUACCAAGUAUACGGUUCUAAUCCUAUAUGGAAAAAUAAAUAGAAAAAGAAAUCUAAAAGGCAGAUCCUCCCUCUCUAUCAAGAGUAAUGAACUAGGUGCUGAUACAGUACAAAAAAACAAACUAAAUUAACCAAACUUGCCUGAUGUUGAGGCAAUCAAGAAAGCUGCAUAAGUGAAUAUAUAUAACCCACGGAAAAGUGAGCUAAUCCAACCAAUCUUGCUUGCACAAUGGAAAGAGCCACGGGCUUAUCUCUCCAGCGAAUUAAAUUAGCUAAAGGUGUGUGUUCAUGAGCCCAUGCUAAAGUCUCAAUUAAUUCCUGCCAAUACCCCUGCCAGGAAAUUAAGAACAUAAAUCCAAUAGCCCAAACAAGAUGUCCAAAUAAGAACAUCCACGCCCAUACCGAUAAACUAUUCAUCCCAAAAGGAUUAUAUCCAUUGAUAAGUUGUGAAGAGUUUAACCAUAGGUAAUCUCUUAACCAUCCCAUCAAAUAAGUGGAGGAUUCAUUAAAUUGUGAAACGUUGCCCUGCCAUAAUGUGAUAUGUUUCUAAUGCCAAUAAAAAGUAACCCACCCAAUGGUAUUUAACAUCUAGAAAACUGCCAAAUAAAAUGCGUCCCAAGCAGAAAUAUCACAAGUACCGCCGCGCCCUGGGCGGUCACAAGGAAAACUAUAUCCAAAAUCCUUUUUAUCCGGCAUUAAUUUGGAACCGUGUGCAUCUAAAGCGCCCUUUACUAAAAUCAAUGUAGUUGUAUGCAAACCUAGAGCAAUAGCAUGAUGAACCAAGAAAUCCCUAGGUCCUAUUGUUAAGAAAAGAGAAUUACUAUUCUCAUUAACAGCAUUCAACCAUCCGGGCAACCAUAGGCUUCGACCCGCAUUGAAAGCGGGGCCAUUCGUUGAAGAUAAGAGUAUAUCGAACCCAUAUGUCGUCUUGCCAUGAGCAGAUUGUAUCCAUUGGGCAAAUAUAGGUUCGAUCAAGAUUUGCUUUUCUGGAGUACCAAAAGCAAGCAUGACGUCGUUAUGAACAUAAAGGCCCAAGGUAUGGAAUCCUAGAAAGAGGCUAGCCCAACUUAAAUGAGAUAUGAUAGCUUCUUUAUGGUCUAACAUUCUUGCCGAUACAUUAUCCUCAUUCUGUUCCGGAUUGUAAUCCCUAAUGAAAAAAAUAGCUCCAUGAGCAAAAGCCCCUGUCAUGAUGAACCCUGCAAUAUAUUGGUGAUGAGUAUAUAAAGCAGCUUGAGUAGUAAAGUCUUGUGCUAUGAAUGCAUAAGGAGGUAAAGAGUACAUAUGUUGAGCUACUAAGGAAGUAAUAACCCCUAAAGAAGCUAGAGCAAGACCUAACUGAAAAUGAAUCGAAUUGUUGAUUGUGUCAUAAAGGCCCUUAUGCCCACGCCCUAAUCGACCCCCCGGAGGAGUAUGCGCUUCUAAAAGAUCUUUAAUACUGUGCCCAAUUCCGAAGUUAGUUCGAUACAUGUGACCGGCAAUGAGAAAAAUAAAUGCAAUAGCUAAAUGAUGGUGAGCCAUAUCGGUCAGCCACAAACUUUGUGUUUGUGGAUGGAAUCCCCCAAGAAGAGUUAGAAUGGCAGUUCCCGCUCCUUGAGCGGUACCAAAUAAAUGAUUACUCGAAUCAGGGUUUUGGGCAUAAAGAUUCCAUUGACCCGUCAAAAGGGGUCCCAACCCCUGGGGAUAGGGUAAUACAUCUAAGAAAUUAUUCCAUCGAACGUACUCCCCCCUGGAUGCGGGAAUAGCAACAUGAACUAAAUGUCCUGUCCAAGCCAAAGAACUUACGCCGAAAAGUCCUAACAAAUGAUGAUUGAGACGAGAUUCCGCGUUUUUGAACCAUGAAAGGCUUGGUUUCCAUUUGGGUUGUAGAUGUAACCAACCCGCUAUUAAGGACAGUGUAGAAAGAAAUAGUAGAAAAAGAGCUCCAGUAUAAAGAUCCUCAUUGGUGCGUAAUCCUAUUGUAUACCACCACUGAUAAACUCCAGAAUAAGCAAUAUUCACUGGACCAGCAGCACCUCCUCGAGUAAAGGCUUCCACAGCGGGUUGACCAAAAUGAGGAUCCCAAAUCACAUGAGCAAUAAGUCUUACGUGUAAAGGAUCCUGUAUCCAUGAUUCAAAAUUUCCUUGCCAAGCUACAUGAAACAGAUUUCCGGACGUCCAUAGAAAGAUUAUUGCUAAUUGCCCAAAGUGAGAAGCAAAAAUGUUCUGAUAAAGACGUUCUUCAGUAAUAUCAUCAUGAAUUUCGAAAUCAUGUGCGGUAGCAAUACCAAACCAAAUACGACGAGUAGUGGGGUCCUGAGCUAAGCCUUGGCUAAACCUGGGAAAUCUUAAUUCCAUAAUGCCUUUCAAAUCCUCCUAGCCACUAUCCUACUGCAAUAAUUCUCGCUAAGAAGAAUGCCCAUGUCGUGGCAAUUCCACCCAGAAGGUAAUGGGUUACUCCUACAGCACGUCCUUGUAUAAUGCUCAAGGCUCUAGGCUGAGUAGCAGGAGCAACUUUUAAUUUGUUAUGAGCCCAAACGAUAGAUUCAAUGAGUUCUUGCCAAUAACCACGGCCGCUGAAUAAAAACAUUAAACUGAAGGCCCAGACAAAAUGAGCACCUAAGAAAAAAAGACCAUAUGCAGAUAAUGAAGAACCAUAAGACUGAAUGACUUGUGAUGCCUGUGCCCACAAGAAAUCUCGAUGCCACCCAUUAAUCAUAAUGGAACUCUAUGCAAAGUUUCCCCCUGUAAUAUGAGUUACCACCCCUUGAUCACUUAUAGUACCCCAAACAUCCGACUGCAUUUUCCAACUGAAAUGGAAAAUGACUAUCGAAAUUGCAUUGUACAUCCAGAAUAAACCUAAGGAAACAUGAUCCCAGGCGGAUACUUGACAUGUUCCCCCUCGGCCAGGCCCAUCGCAAGGAAAGCGAAAACCUAGAUUUGCUUUAUCGGGUAUCAAACGGGAACUCCGAGCAAAUAAAACACCUUUCAAAAGUAUUAAUACAGUCACAUGUAUGGUAAAUGCAUGAAUGUGAUGGACUAAAAAAUAUGCGGUUCCUAAUGGAAUAGAUAACAAAGCCACUUUGCCACCUACUGCUACUAACUCGCCGCCUCCCCACAUUAAGCUAGUACUUGUUGUUGCACCAGGAGCUGUUACGCCAGGCGUAGUAGCAUGGAUAUUUUGUACCCAUUGAGCAAAGAUAGGUUGUAAUUGUAUGGCAGUAUCCAAAAACAUAUCUUGUGGAUGGCCUAAAGCACUCAUGGUAUCAUUAUGAAUGUACAAGCCAAAAUUGUGAAAACCUAGAAAUAUACAUACCCAGUUAAGGUGGGAUAUGAUUGCAUCGCGGUGUCUAAGGACGCGAUCUAAUAGAUCGUUGUAUCGAGUAGUUGGAUCAUAGUCUCUUACCAUAAAAAUUGUUGCAUGUGCAGCAGCACCGACUAUUAGAAAUCCUCCAAACCACAUGUGGUGUGUGAACAAGGAAAGUUGUGAAUAUACAAAAAAGAAGAAUAGAUACAGGGUAUCAAACCUAUAGAGUUUUUGCUUCAAAGAAAUAGAAAUAUCAUGAAAUAGAAAUAUCAUCAAAUAGAGUCAGGGAAUGGAAUAGAGUCAUCGAAUGAAGCAUAUUCAUUAACAACUCCAUUUACAGAUCAAAAAUGAAAAAAAGAAAGCAUUGCCUUCUUUACUAUAUCUUGUAUUUAUCGUACUUUUGCCUUGGGGGGUCUCUUCCUCAUUUAACAAAUGUCUGGAACUUUGGAUUAAGAAUUGGUGGAAUACCAGGCAAUCCGAAACUCUCUUAACUGAUAUUCAAGAGAAAAGGAUUCUAGAAAGAUUCAUAGAAUUAGAAGAAUUUUCUCUCUUGGACGAGAUGAUAAAAGGGAAACUAAAGACACAUGUACAAAAACCUCCUACAGGAAUACACAAGGAAAUAAUACAAUGGGUCAAAAUAAAUAAUGAGGAUCAUCUCCAUACCAUUUUGCAUUUCUCGACAAAUAUAAUCUGUUUGGCUAUUCUAAGUGGUUCUUUUUUUCUGGGUAAAGAGGAACUUGUCAUUUUGAAUUCUUGGGUUCAGGAAUUCUUCUAUAAUUUAAAUGACUCAAUAAUAGCUUUUUUUAUUCUUUUAGUUACUGAUUUUUUUUGUUGGAUUUCACUCCACCCAUGGUUGGGAACUAGUAAUUCGUUGGGUCUACAACGAUUUUGGAUGGGCUCCUAACGAGCUUAUUUUCACUAUUUUUGUUUGUAGUUUUCCAGUAAUUCUAGAUACAUGUUUGAAAUUUUGGGUCUUUUUUUGUUUAAACCGUCCAUCUCCUUUGCUUGUAGUCAUUUAUCAUUCAAUUAGUGAAGCAUAAAUUCAUUGGAUCUCCCGAUAUUAAUAUUAAUCAAAUUAGCAAGCAUCUUUUUUUAGAAAGAAAGCCCUUUUCCAUUUUAGCAAAAUUCUUUCUAUUUAUACCUACUUUAAGGUAUUCAUCAUUGCAGUACAACUGUUGCAGUAGAAUGACAACAGAUUCGUGUAUAGGGAACUAGAUUAGCUUAGCUACCUAUCUAAUUUAUUGUAGAAAUUUUGGGAUCUGCGAUUGGACAUGGAAAAUAGAAAUACUUUUUCUUGGGUAAAGGAACAGAUAACUCGAUCGAUUUCUGUAUCGAUCAUGAUAUACGUAAUAACUCGGACAUCUAUUUCAAAUGCAUAUCCCAUUUUUGCGCAGCAGGGUUAUGAAAACCCACGAGAAGCAACUGGACGAAUUGUAUGUGCCAAUUGCCAUUUAGCUAGCAAGCCCGUCGAUAUUGAAGUUCCCCAAGCUGUGCUUCCCGAUACUGUAUUUGAAGCAGUUCUUCGAAUUCCUUAUGAUAUGCAAUUGAAACAAGUUCUUGCUAAUGGAAAAAAGGGAGGGUUGAAUGUAGGUGCUGUUCUUAUUUUGCCCGAGGGAUUCGAAUUAGCGCCGCCCGAUCGUAUUUCCUCUGAGUUAAAAGAAAGAUAGGAAAUCUUGCUUUUCAGAGUUAUCAUCCCGAUAAAAAAAAUAUUCUUGUGAUAGGCCCUGUUCCCGGUAAGAAAUAUAGUGAAAUUGUCUUUCCCAUUCUUUCCCCUGAUCCUGCUACGAAGAAAGAUGCUCAUUUCUUAAAAUAUCCCAUAUAUGUAGGGGGAAACUGAGGAAGAGGACAGAUCUAUCCUGAUGGUAGCAAGAGUAACAAUACAGUCUAUAAUGCUACGUCAACAGGUAUAGUAAGAAAAAUACUACGUAAAGAAAAAGGGGGGUAUGAAAUAUCCAUAGUUGAUGCAUCAGAUGGACGCCAAGUGAUUGAUAUUAUACCUCCCGGACCAGAACUUCUUGUUUCAGAGGGGGAAUCCAUCAAGCUUGAUCAACCAUUAACAAGCAAUCCUAAUGUGGGAGGUUUUGGUCAGGGGGGCGC
rnacentral:lncRNA from 1 species